UACGAAGGGGGCUAGCGUUGCUCGGAUUUACUGGGCGUAAAGGGCGCGUAGGCGGACAGUUUAGUCAGAGGUGAAAGCCCGGGGCUCAACCUCGGAAUUGCCUUUGAUACUGGCUGUCUUGAGUAUGGAAGAGGUAUGUGGAACUCCGAGUGUAGAGGUGAAAUUCGUAGAUAUUCGGAAGAACACCAGUGGCGAAGGCGACAUACUGGUCCAUUACUGACGCUGAGGCGCGAAAGCGUGGGGAGCAAACAGG
rnacentral:rRNA from 2 species